CUCCCUCUAUCCCGAUCCCCUCCGCCGCACGCGCAACAGCCGCCGGCCACGACUCCCUGGCAACCGGCCUCCCAGCUCCGGCGAAGUGCCACGGCCCCUGCUUCCCACCUCCGGCUACGCGCCACAGCCCCCGCCUCCCUCCUCCUCCGACGCGCCACAGCCUCCGCCUCCCACCUUCGGCGACGCGCCACGCCCUGCCUCCCUCCUUCAGUGACGCUCCACGGCCAACACCUCCCACCUCCGGCGGCCCGCCACGGCCCGGGCCUCCCACCUCUGGCGACGCGCCCUGCCCCGCCUCCCACCUCCAGCGGCCCGCCAUGCUCCCCGCUUCCCACCUCCGGCGACGCGCCACGGCCCCACCUCCCACCCUUGGUGAACGCCGACCGGAGGUAGAACGUCCCGCUGCAGGUCGCGGCCUCCCCGGGCUGCAGGUCGCGGACUCGACCUCGUCGCUGCACACAGUGAACCGUGGCCUCCGCCGCGUGUGGUCGUCCCUGUCCUGUUUCAAGCCCGUUUUCGGCCGCCCAUAGACUGAUUGAACUGACGAGCUUGAUCCCCUUCGACAGUAGCAGCUUCACCCCAGUGCGCCACCCACCACGAUGCCGCCCCAGGCCGUUCACAACAGCCAGUGCAGUCCGUUCACCACCGCCAACCGAGGCCGUUCAACAAUGCAGCGACCAAUCGAUCAUCAGCAUAAAGAUCAUCAUCAGCUGUCCAAGUCGAGCUCUGGCUCCAGUCCAAGUCGAAAUGCGACCAACAUCUUCACCAAGCGCUGCACCCAUUGAUCAUCCACACACGUCCAAAUCCCGGCGCCGCUCGUGAUCUCCACCUCCAUCAGCUCCACUUCGCCAAAGCUAUCAGUCCAAAUGAGGAGGUGUAGCCGGUCCACCCGAUCUCCGACGUCGUAUUCUACCUCCAAAAAAUUUCUUUUUCAGUUCAAUUCUUCGUCACAGGUUCACUGCUAUCACCCGUUUUUGUGAAUCUCUAUUGAAAAUUAGCUCACGUUUUAGUGAAUGAGAAGCGGUUUGUACUUUUAGUUUGAUGCGUGUUCAUGAGUAGUUUAAAAAGUGUGCUUGUUUCCUGCUUUUCUAUAACACUUGUUAGAUUGCUAUCAAAAAAUGUCAUGUAUUCAUGGAUUUGCUGCUGGUGUAGCAGCCCAGCAUGUAUUUUAUCAUCAGUUCGUAAAAGGAAAGCUGAAUCAGUGCAGUGUGCGUGUUAAAAAAAAUCAGUUUUAUUUUGUACGGUAGUUCAUUGUAUAGAAAAUUUGCAAUAGUUCUUGCUUUUCAGUUCAUCUACUUCCCCUUCGCAAGUCUAAUUAUUAGAAAUUCAAAUAUGAAAAAUAGCAUCCAUUUUGUUAUGUUCAUCAUAUUCAACCAAUUUUGUAUGUACAGACUUGCCUAUGUUGAUUAGUAGGGUAGAUCUCUGUUGCACAGUCGAGAUGUGUUCAGUCCAACCCCAUGGCAUUAGGGAGGUCGAGUUCGUCGCGAGCAGCAGUACAUGGUUGUUAGCUUACUCCAGCAGCCAGCCUAGCCUUCCCUCUCGGUCAUCAGUCCAACUUCUUGCUCUGACGCCGGUCACUCAAAGAGCCGUGUGCAGGCCACCCGUGUUUCACCUCCUGAUCCAGCUCAACUUUCUCCAUUCUUCAGCAUUUUUGAUUGUCGCAUGAUACUUGUAUUGGGUGCUAGAGUUCAUGUAUUACUGCCAGGAAAAAGUCAAGAUCUUCGCACAACAGAGAUCUAGAUGUUUGGAAU